rnacentral:rRNA from 1 species
GACUAGAGUUUGAUCCUGGCUCAGAACGAACGUUAGCGGCGCGCCUAAGACAUGCAAGUCGAGCGAGAAAGGGAUUUCGUCCCCGGUAAAGCGGCGCACGGGUGAGUUAACACGUAGGUCAUCGACCCUCGAGUGGUGGAUAACCCUCCGAAAGGAGGGCUAAUACAGCAUGAUGCUAGCAAUAGCCAAAGCGGGCCUCUUCAUGAAAGCUCGCGCUAGAGGACGAGCCUGCGGCCCAUCAGGUAGUUGGCGGAGUAAUAGCCCACCAAGCCAUAGACGGGUAGCUGGUCUGAGAGGAUGAACAGCCACACUGGAACUGAGACACGGUCCAGACUCCUACGGGAGGCAGCAGUCGGGAAUCUUCCGCAAUGGGCGAAAGCCUGACGGAGCGACGCCGCGUGAGCGAUGAAGGCCUUCGGGUUGUAAAGCUCUGUGGGGAGAGAAGAAUAAGUUCAGGCGAAUACCCUGAAUGAUGACGGUAUCUCCUUAGCAAGCACCGGCUAACUCUGUGCCAGCAGCCGCGGUAA